UAUACACUGUAAAUGAUUUCUGUUGUUUUCACAGGAUUAUACUGUUUUUCUCAACAGUUUCUUACUGUAUAACCUAUGUACAGUAAGUUACAGUAGAUUUAGAUGUUGCACAGUAUUAUGUUGUAUUUUCAACAGUUAUAUACUGUGCACACAGUUGACAGUAUGUUACUGUUGAUUUUCAAUGCAUUCUGGGAAAUUAUCAGUUACUGUAAAUCUAAAUACAGCAGUGCAAAUUGACCGCGAAAAAAACCACACACAAUUCCGCAGGAAAAAUUGGUAUAGCAACGUUAUUUUUAGGCUACAUAAAACAUUUUCAGGAUGGGGUGACCAUGUCAGUAUUAAUUUCUGUCAGUGGGGGGUGCAUGAGAGCGCAUUUGAGUUUGAACGAGUUUUUCUGUGACUGUCAUGUCAGUGCAUCGAUCGUGUCUGUUUCUGCCGACCUGUGGAACUUCGUCAUCUGGUUUCUUGUCAGGAUAAAUCCUGAAAAUUCAAAAUGCACAUCACAGUUCCAGGUGAGCAGAAAGAGUGGGAAGGUUGUUCGGAGGAAGAACAUGUCUUUGAAUCCACACAUCUUUCAUCAGGGACUUUGCAGAAUAUGACUGGCAAAAUCAUUAAGGAUUAUCAGAAGUGCUGUCGCUGUUCUUCUUCUUUUUCCUCACCUGGCCUUCAUCCUCACCUGUUCUGCUUUCAAGUUUCUAUUUGACCUCUUCAGGAUAAUUUUUGCAUGAAUUGAAAUACAUGAAUUGUUCACUGAUUUGAAUUAUUAAUGAUUAAUUGUUAAUUAGUCUUUUUUUUAAACAGAUUUUUAUUGUUGUAUUAUAUUACAUUAUUAUUACGGUACUAAUGUAUUGUUUGAAAAUACACAAUAAACCUGGUUGUGCAGUUAAAACUUCAA